rnacentral:rRNA from 1 species
CCUACGGGUGGCAGCAGUGAGGAAUAUUGGUCAAUGGACGAGAGUCUGAACCAGCCAAGUAGCGUGAAGGAUGAAUGCCCUAUGGGUUGUAAACUUCUUUUAUAAAGGAAUAAAACGAGGCACGUGUGCCUUUAUGCAUGUACUUUAUGAAUAAGGAUCGGCUAACGCCGUGCCAGCAGCCGCGGUAAUACGGAGGAACCGAGCGUUAUCCGGAUUUAUUGGGUUUAAAGGGAGCGUAGAUGGGUUGUUAAGUCAGUUGUGAAAGUUUGCGGCUCAACCGUAAAAUUGCAAUUGAUACUGGCAGUCUUGAGUACAGUUGAGGUAGGCGGAAUUCGUGGUGUAGCGGUGAAAUGCUUAGAUAUCACGAAGAACCCCGAUUGCGAAGGCAGCUUACUAAACUGUGACUGACAUUGAUGCUCGAAAGUGUGGGUAUCAAACAGGAUUAGAUACCCGUGUAGUC